GAAAGGCGGAUUAAUACCCCAUGGUACCUUCGGGUUAAAGGUGGCUUCGGCUGCCGCUGCGGGAUUGGCUCGCGUCCUAUCAGCUUGUUGGCGGGGUAACGGCCCACCAAGGCUACGACGGGUAACUGGUCUGAGAGGAUGAUCAGUCACACUGGAACUGAGACACGGUCCAGACACCUACGGGUGGCAGCAGUCGAGAAUAAUUCACAAUGGACGAAAGUCUGAUGGUGCAACGCCGCGUGGAGGAUGACGGUCUUCGGAUUGUAAACUCCUGUCAUCGGGGAGUAAGACCUGGGGGUCAAUAGCCCACAGGGUUGAUAGUACCCGAAGAGGAAGGGACGGCUAACUUCGUGCCAGCAGCCGCGGUAAUACGAAGGUCCCGAGCGUUGUUCGGAAUCACUGGGCGUAAAGGGAGCGUAGGCGGUUUGGUAAGUCAGAUGUGAAAUCCCGGGGCUCAACCCCGGAACUGCAUCCGAUACUGCCGGACUUGAGUAGUGGAGGGGUAGAUGGAAUUCUCGGUGUAGCAGUGAAAUGCGUGGAUAUCGAGAGGAACACUCGUGGCGAAGGCGAUCUACUGGACACUUACUGACGCUGAGGCUCGAAGGCCAGGGGAGCGAAAGGGAUUAGAUACCCCUGUAGUCCUGGCAGUAAACGGUGCGCGCUUGGUGUGAGGGGUUUCGACCCCCCUUGUGCCGGAGCUAACGCGUUAAGCGCGCCGCCUGGGAAGUACGGUCGCAAGACUAAAACUCAAAGAAAUUGACGGGGACCCGCACAAGCGGUGGAGUAUGUGGCUUAAUUCGAUGCAACGCGAAGAACCUUACCUGGGCUUGACAUGCAUCG
rnacentral:rRNA from 1 species